rnacentral:tRNA from 1 species
GGUAGGGUGGCCGAGUGUAGGCGGCGGGUUGUAAACCCGAAGAUAGAGGUUUGAGCCCUCUUCCUAUCA